rnacentral:rRNA from 1 species
UACGUAGGGUGCGAGCGUUACUCGGAAUUACUGGGCGUAAAGCGUGCGCAGGCGGUUUUGUAAGCCAGGUGUGAAAGCCCCGGGCUUAACCUGGGAAUGGCAUUUGGGACUGGAAGGCUGGAGUUUGGCAGAGGAGACUGGAAUUCCUGGUGUAGCAGUGAAAUGCGUAGAUAUCAGGAGGAAUACCGAUGGCGAAGGCAGGUCUCUGGGCUAUAACUGACGCUCAUGCACGAAAGCGUGGGGAGCAAACAGG